GAUGAACGCUGGCGGCGUGCUUAACACAUGCAAGUCGAACGAUGACUUUUGUGCUUGCACAAAAUGAUUAGUGGCGAACGGGUGAGUAACACGUGAGUAACCUGCCCUUAACUUCGGGAUAAGCCUGGGAAACUGGGUCUAAUACCGGAUACGACGGUCCACCGCAUGGUGGUCCGUGGAAAGCUUGAUGCGGUUUUGGAUGGACUCGCGGCCUAUCAGCUAGUUGGUUGGGGUAAUGGCCCACCAAGGCGACGACGGGUAGCCGGCCUGAGAGGGUGACCGGCCACACUGGGACUGAGACACGGCCCAGACUCCUACGGGAGGCAGCAGUGGGGAAUAUUGCACAAUGGGCGAAAGCCUGAUGCAGCGACGCCGCGUGAGGGACGAAGGCCUUCGGGUUGUAAACCUCUUUCAGCAGGGAAGAAGCGAAAGUGACGGUACCUGCAGAAGAAGCGCCGGCUAACUACGUGCCAGCAGCCGCGGUAAUACGUAGGGCGCAAGCGUUAUCCGGAAUUAUUGGGCGUAAAGAGCUCGUAGGCGGUUUGUCGCGUCUGCUGUGAAAGCCCGGGGCUCAACCCCGGGUCUGCAGUGGGUACGGGCAGACUAGAGUGCAGUAGGGGAGACUGGAAUUCCUGGUGUAGCGGUGAAAUGCGCAGAUAUCAGGAGGAACACCGAUGGCGAAGGCAGGUCUCUGGGCUGUAACUGACGCUGAGGAGCGAAAGCAUGGGGAGCGAACAGGAUUAGAUACCCUGGUAGUCCAUGCCGUAAACGUUGGGCACUAGGUGUGGGGGACAUUCCACGUUUUCCGCGCCGUAGCUAACGCAUUAAGUGCCCCGCCUGGGGAGUACGGCCGCAAGGCUA
rnacentral:rRNA from 1 species